AAAAAGGGUAAAAGGGGAGAAAAAGAGGAAUCUUGGGCUAUUUUUGAGUGCUGGUUAAUGGGGUUGUUGGGCAUAUUGUGGCUGGUGAUUAUGUUUGGAUUUACAGAGAUUGGGAAAGCUCAAAGGAAGUGUUUUCUGAUAAGUUGUGGGACAAAUUCUAGUGUAAUUGUUGAUGGGAGGAGAUGGAUUGUUGACACGGAUGUUUCAAAGAAGAAUUGAAAAAAAGAACGAAAAAUGGCUAAAUGAAGCAAAUCCAAAGUAUGGGGACGAAAGUGUAAAUAUUUAAUGGUUGAUCUGGACCACAAAAGAUACUUUGAAGAUUGAUAGGAGUCAAUUGAAUGCAAAUUGGAGUAAAAAAGGAAAGGGAUAUGACUAGACUAUUACUAUAAAUCGACUUCCAAUCAUAUACGAUAUUUUCAAGAUUUUCGGUCAACUUGAGACUCAUUUUUCGGAUGGAGAACGUUUGAAUUGGAAAAAUUGUACUUCUAGAAGAAUUGUAGAUCUUUUAAUUAGAUUUCAAAUGCACAUUGAAUCACCUAAAUCGGACACCGAAAGAGAAAGUUAUGAUCAAAAUACUAAAGGCUGUGCAGAGACAAUUAUGUGCGCGCGAAGACAACUUUCCUUAUUUGAUUCAAACUCUUUUGGAAGACAAUUUGGACGUGAAUUUUGACCUAAUUUCAUCAUAUAAAUACAAGACAUGGGCAGCAAUGAAAGGGUCUCUCUCUUGCCUCUUCAUACACAAUAGUUUCAUCAAAUCCAUCAAGAACAAGGGGCCAAUUGCAAUAUUUUGAGAGAGAAAAUCAAGCAAUAUCAAAGAAUUGAGGUUCAAUUACAUCAAGUCUUGAAGAAUUCAACUUUGGACGUGAAGAUCAACAUCUUUUGUAUUCUUUCAUAAUCCGAGUGAUAUUUUUCUAUUAUUCUUCUUGUAAUUUAUAUAUUAAUAUGCUAGACUAGUUUUUCAUUGUAUUGGAUGAGAUGAAUCCUAUUAUUUAUUUAUUUUAAUUCAAGACAAGUAUUUAGUUUAAUUCGUG
rnacentral:lncRNA from 1 species